AUAAUAAUAAUAAUUAUUAUUAUUAUUAUCAAGUUUUAGAUAUUAAUCUACCUGAUCUGAAUUCUAUCUCAAGCCCUUAAUAACUCAACAAGUUUUAAGUCCUUUGCUUAGAGACAUAAGAGUAAACAUACACAUUCCAUACUACCAGGAGUGGCUAUCUGGUCACGUGGUACGCGCUUCGGACUGCCAUAAUGAUGAUUCAGAGUCCUAGCCCCGUCUGCCGUCAUCCCCUAACGUCCAGCAGGAAGUCUGGGAAAGCACGUGAUAAUCCUUUUUUACUUCCCCUAGAACGAACGUCAGAAAGUUCUACAACGAACAUUUAAAUACGUGUACUAGUCUGUCGAGCAUUUCUCUAGUCAUAUAUCAGAGCUCAAUACGAUAGAACCCCCGCACAUAUUAUUCAAUUAAUAUACGUUUUAUUAUUAUCAAUAUUUAUGUAUUAAAGGAAAAAAUAUGCAAAAGGCCAGCUACCUUUUUUUAAAUGGCCAUUUGCUCAAAUAAAAUGUGUGUCACAAUCUAUUAUACAUAAUACAGGAGCAAUAGAAUAGUACUUUAUUUUAAUGGACAAAUGUAUAAUUCUCAUUAUAUUAUUCACAACUAAUAUGCCUUAAGUUUUAUUUAUAAACCACCAUUCCUUAUGUAUUGCAAUAAAACAAAUGUAUUAUAUUGACAAUGUAUUUCAAUGACAUAACAAGAUGUUACUAUGUAGAUAACAUCAAAUAAAUUUACACUUUAUACAUUUUAAAA